CCAUGGAGAUAAAUUAGCCCAAGAUUCACAGGAUGUAUGGAACUCCUCCCAGAAAAGUGUUACAUAUGGUAGGCAUUUCAUAUAAUAUUAUUAUGCAUAGAUCAUCAAAGAUGCUGCCUCUUCCUGGAGACAAAGGCAUAAUUAGUUAGCUGUACAUGAUUUUAAGUAAGAUUUUCUACAGUAGUGGAAAAAAAAUAGUUUCAUAUCAGGACAUAAAUGCAAUAAUGUAUAUCCCAGUACUAUGGGAUAGCAUACAAUAGUGGAUUGUGUCUAACCUUGGUUGCAGUGAAUGCUUGGAAAAGUUGAAAAAAAAGCACCCACUGAGGGUCCAUCAUGAGUGAUCCAGGGAGCAGUAACAGAAGGGCACAAAAAAGAGAAUUGGUUGUGUAAUUGCGUUCUGUCAAACAGCUAGAUAAGCAGCCAGCAGUUUUGCAUUCGAAUGCAUUUGGUUAUCCCAUUUACAAUGGGCUGGUAAUCCUAUAAAUAUUUAUUGCUGAACUAAAGAAAGCAGCAUAAGCUUUUACCCUUUGAGAAAGGUCUGUAACCUGCACAGUGCCAGUGAAGUAUGAAACCCCGAUGAUUUGGUUACUUCUUCAUGUGUUAAAGGCUGGAUCUCACUUGGCACAUGUGAACACUCUGAAUGCCACCAUCAGAGGCAUACUCCUGGGGUGGGGGGCGGGGAGCAGUUGUGAACAUAUGCUUUUGGGGGUGAGCGCUCAGCCCUGCAGCUGCUCUCCAGCCCAACCCAAGCAGGAUGAUGUGGAGCCCACGGGCUAAGCAGAUUUACCUUUAUUGGUCGGGAAUCGGGAUCAACCCCUUAUGCAUAGACUGCACAUAAGAACAAAAGGAGAAAUCAUUUCCUUAAAAUGAUUCUGUAUCUGUGUACAUUACAUAAUGUUAAUCUUCCAUAGUGGCUUGGAGGAAAUAAACCGACUUUUUCUUUGAAAGGUGUGGCAUCACUUAAGCAAUAAAAAUAUUCCAUUUCCAUUUCUGUGCGUUCUAUGUGUUGAACAAACAAAAACCAAAAAUAUAUCACUUCUGGCUUUGCAGAUCUUUUCACAUCCUGUCUACUCCCCAAAAUAUUUAGGCUUCUAAUAAUAAAAGCACGAAAAUAAAAAGACCAAAAACAGCUAUUGAUAAAACAAAGAAAAUAAUCAGAAAUCAGAGAGAGCUCAUAAUCUGCUGGCUGAGAAAAUCUGCAAUAACUAAACAUGAUCGUGAUGAACUUCCUUUGCAACCAGAACAAAGAGGAAAACUCAGUAAAUACCAUCCUCUUACUUUAAAAUGUUACUGUACCUUCUCAAAACUGCAGGUCAGGUGUUCUCUGGUGGCCUAGUGGUUAAGGAUUCGAUAUUGUCACUGUUGUGGCUCAGGUUCGAUCCUGGGCCCACGAAUUUUCGUGUGCCAUGGGCAUGGCCAAAAAAAAUCCUGCAGGUCAAUACACUGUGUUUCUUUCGCUGUGUUGGCAUGAUAAUGAGUACCAAUAGGCAGGGAGCUAUGGGCUCCUUUGUGUGUGUGUGAGUGUGUGUGUAGUACAUGAACAUUUUUAUUAAAAGUCGACAUGGUGGAUGGACUGGGAGUUUGGAGUUGGUAGAUGCAAACUAUUACAUUUAGAAUGGAUAAGCAAUGAGGUCCUACUGGGAUAGAACAUGAUGGAACAUCAUGUGUGAAAAAAAAUGUAUAUAUAAUGUGUGUGUGUGUGUGUGUGUGUGACUGAGUCACUUUGCUGUGCAGCAGAAACUGACACAACACUGUAAGUCAACUAUACUGCUGUAAAAAAUAAAAUGGAUGUGGAAGCUCAGAGGCAGCUUAUGAAUUUAAAGAUCAGGACCUUUUAUGCAGGAAUUCUAAAAGGGAAACAAUUCUCUCAUGUAACAUCUGCUAUAUGUCCAGUACCAUUUCAGGCCUAGGGGUGAUGCACGAACAAGAGGGCAUGGUCCUGUUCUUGCUACACUUGAAAAACACAUGGUUUUGAACAAGAAAUUGCAGCUCUGAUAAAGUAAUUGCAGCACUAAAGUAACAGGCUCAUACUCUUCCUGGUUGAGCAGAACAUUCAUCUCUGCCCAAGUAUGUGAUAGUUAGAGUGCAGGUUCUGGAGUCAGAAUACCUGGGUUAGAAUUCUGGGCAGUGAUUGGCCUAGAUAAGCAAAGAGAUCUCUGUGACCCCAGCCAGGUUACUUACCCCCUCUGUCUCCAUGUUCCUGACCUUUAACCUGGGGGGGAUAGUCCUACCCGCCUCCUAAGUGUCAUUGAGAGGAUUAAUGGGUCUUCUCCAGCAGUCACAUGGUUCCAAGAGCACGGUAGGAAAAAACCUCAAGAUCUCUCAAGUCCUAGGCUUGGAUUGCCUCAAACCUCACUUCUGCAGUAUUCCACUGGCCAAAGGGAGUCACAAAACUAACCCAGAUUCAAGGGUUGGGGAAAUAGGUUCCACCUCUGGGUGGAGCAGUUACAAGGGAAUGUGACCAGUUUUACAGUUUUCUACAUGGCAGUGGGGGUGCAAAGACCACUAAAAACGUAGGAUGAGUAGAUCUUAAUGCUUGGGAGUUCCCGUUGUGGCUCAGCAGUUUACAAACCUAACUAGUAUCCAUGAGGAUGUGGGUUCAAACCAUGGCCUCAUUCAGUGGGUUAAGGAUCUGGCAUUGCUGCAAGCUUCAGAAUAGGUUGCAGGUGCAGUUCAGAUCUGGCCUUGCUGUGGCUGUGGUAUAGGGUGGCAGCUGCAGAUCCAAGUCAACCCCUAACCUGGGAAGUUCCAUAUGCUGCAGAUGUGGCCCUAAAAAAAAAAAAAAA
ensembl:lncRNA